rnacentral:rRNA from 1 species
AGUCGACGAGCACUGUAACGGAGAUUCGUCGAAGUUUACUUUGACUUAGUGGCGGACGGGUGAGUAAUGUAUGAGCAACCUGCCUUUCAGUGGGGGACAACAGUUGGAAACGACUGCUAAUACCGCAUGAUGUCAAUUGGGGGCAUCCCCGAAUGACCAAAGGAUUUAUUCGCUGAAAGAUGGGCUCAUAUCUGAUUAGCUAGUUGGUGAGGUAACGGCUCACCAAGGCUGCGAUCAGUAGCCGGACUGAGAGGUUGAACGGCCACAUUGGGACUGAGAUACGGCCCAGACUCCUACGGGAGGCAGCAGUGGGGAAUAUUGGGCAAUGGGCGAAAGCCUGACCCAGCAACGCCGCGUGAAGGAAGAAGGUCUUCGGAUUGUAAACUUCUUUUAUGAGGGACGAAGGACGUGACGGUACCUCAUGAAUAAGCCACGGCUAACUACGUGCCAGCAGCCGCGGUAAUACGUAGGUGGCAAGCGUUAUCCGGAUUUACUGGGUGUAAAGGGCGCGUAGGCGGGGAUGCAAGUCAGAUGUGAAAUCUAUGGGCUUAACCCAUAAACUGCAUUUGAAACUGUAUCUCUUGAGUGCUGGAGAGGUAGACGGAAUUCCUUGUGUAGCGGUGAAAUGCGUAGAUAUAAGGAAGAACACCAGUGGCGAAGGCGGUCUACUGGACAGUAAUCUGAC